AGAAGAUGAAACGAGCCACUCUCUGUGUCAUAAAUCCUUACAGUACAUGAGUUUCAGCAAUUAGACCAAAUUAAUGACAUGAAUGAACUUUUCCAUCAUAUUCCAAUUUGUGUGAGAUGCAUCCAUUUUAAUUAACUGCUCACACAUUAAUUAAAAUGCAGCUUUUUGAAUUUUUUUCACACGUGGAGGGUAGAGUUUACUGCUUGAUUUUUGAGAAUAACUUCAUUUUGAUUAAAGGUUUCCUAAACAGCUUGGUUUUAUUAAUACAGAACGCAUGCUUAGGAACAAAACAUGAUGUAACAAUUAAAAACUGCACCAAUUAUUAACUCUUUGGAGGCAAUAGGGUUAGCAGAAACUCCUUCUAAUGCUGCAGAUCAAAAACACGGCUCUGCUAAUUGUGCUUCCCCAGCGUUAAGACCAUUUCAGCUUAAUCCCAGUCAGAUUCCCGGAUUCCCCAAAGCUUAGAAGGUGGGAUUCACACCUUAAUGCCCCUCAGUGUAACGAGCAGAGCCAUUUCCUCCCGUCUUCUACAGCACCACUCACUGCAAAGUGCUUCCCUGCUCCAACAAAGUCAUUUUAUGCAGUGAGGGGUGACGCCGACAGCAGAACGUGACCCUGAAGGCUGCCGUACAAAUCCUCAGCCUGGCAGGAGAAAAUUUAACUGGAGAGAAAUUAUGAGCCACACAGAAUGCUGAUAGUUUGAGAGAGAGCAUUGAAGAGCUGCAAAAAUCCACUUCAUUGUCAUUUUACUUACCCUGGACUCUGUGAAUAUUAUUCUGUAGACCUGCAGCUCUCACCACUGGAGGUACUCAGAAGAUAGUUUGCUCUCAGUUAUGUGGUAAAUAUGCAGGAAUAACGAUCAAAAUGGGCUCCUUUCAGCAUUACUGCAGACUCCUAGAUCAGCUUGUUUAUUAACGCAAAUGAUUCAUAAUUAUUUUGUGAUUUUGUAUAGAAAUCACAAUUAUAUGAGUCGAGGGGCAAUGCAGCUGGAGGAUAUGGAUUUACCUUAAAUUCAAAAAAUUCAAAUAGAGAACCUAGAAAAAAGUUGUUUUUUCCCCAUCGGUGCAUUUUUAUUUAAAAUUUUGCAUUUACUAAUAGGUGUGAAACAACGUCACUUGCAGUUUUUAAUGAUUCAAUCAAAUUAUCUCAUAUUAUUGGUAUACACAGCUUGAAUUGUGAUAAAGAGAAAGAAAAAGCAGCGGCUCAAAUCUGGGUUUAUCUCAGAUCAAAAUCUCCAUCUCAGUAUUCAAUGAUUAUAAUGCAAUGUGGCGUUUUCCUCAAAUCUUGCACCUUGAAAACUAAAAUAUCAUUAAAAUACAAGUGUACAUAAAGUCAGGCAAUAAGAGGUUUGUUUUCUUUCUGCAGUUAAUGAGGUGUCUUUUAUGGCACAACCAAAGAAAUUCUGUCCCAUUUUACUGUUUUUAAAAUGGGUGUUAAUACGGUUAACAGGAAAAACUUUAAAAACAUUUACUGAGGUGGUCCGUUCUAUAAACCGUUUAAGAAGGACUCCUGCAGACAGCUGCGCAGUGAGGGGAUUUGUGAGGGAUCUGAAAGCUGCGGAGGUUGGGGGCUGCGGCUGCGCGUCGGCUCAGGGCAGCACACAGGUGUGAGCGCGCCUGAGUGCAGUUCCCUGCAGCUUCUCCCCUCGGUCAUUACUAUAAAUGACAGUGUGCACUUAGUCAAGCAGCCUGGUUAAAUAAGGAUUAGAAGGAUGGGGAGAAAAUAACUUCACACUUUUGAGAGCAGCAAAUGGUGUUUGCAAAGAACGCAGCUGAAAGCGGAGAGAGGCAGGGGAGAGCUGGGCUCUGCCUGCAAGUAACCCGACGCACGCCGCCUUCCCUCGUUUUGUUUUCCUCUUCCGCAUCUGAACCAGACCUGCAGACACCUUCGCCGAAGCGCUGGAACAAAGACGAAGGAGGGCAUGAAGGAUCGCAUGUGGAAAAUAUUUCUGUUAAAGCCCAUCUCUGAGACAAACAUGAGCCCUGCUGCUCCCUCUCCACCCUUCACCACCACCCUCCCUCCCUCAUGCUUCUCGUUUGGUUGGAGCAUCAAACGACCCUGCCGUCUGAAAAUAGCGCGUCGACAUUUCUGUUUCGUCUUGUCGUUUCCUUUUUUCCUCCUUUUUAUUCUCGACAAUGUUGCCAGUUUGCUAGACUCCUGUUUCUUCUCAUGCCUCCUGCCUUCUUGAUCUGUGAGAGGUUACAGCGCAGAGUGCCUCAGAAGUGCGCGUGUGUGUGCGAGUGCAAGUGUGUGUGGCGUAGGAGAGCUUUGGUGGUCUAUAAAAAGCAGCCAGACAAAGUCUUCCCCCUCUCUUCAUGCAUUAUGCAUCGGCAUCACCUUCCAUCAAUUGGCAGAAAAACCUCAAAGAUGUCUAACUUUAGCUUCCACUCUGAAAGCCAAACAGAGGAGAAGAUGUGGUAUUUUGACUGCCACAGUCGAGCUAAGCACCUGUUACAUCAAUAAAAGCUGCGUUUCGCAACAAGACGGCGGCAACAUGUGCGAUGGAAGAUGAAGAAAAAGAAGCACUUAAAUGCGGAGAGUGGAGAAAGGGAGCAACAACAAACCUGAGCUGGAUGAAAGAUAAAAUAAAAAAAAACAAGCAUGUUUUCAGAGUUUCAGCUUCACCGCCAGCCUGGCUGCUGGUUCCAGGUCAAUAUGACAGGUCAGCAUGGGACUAUGUAAAGGGAGGUUCAGGUGGCAGCGGUGGCACUAAGCCAUGUGCACCGUCAUUCACCGCACGUCCGCCUUCCAGGAGCAGCAGGCAGCACCCAGGGGCGACCCAAACAGCCCCACCCGCAGCUCUGUGGGGCUGCAGUAAACAAGCGCUCCCCUCUCAGCAGAAAGGCUGUGAUGGUCUGCUCUGCUCCAGGACUGUGAACGUGUUUAUUUGUUUAUUUACCUUUCUGGCUGCCUCCACUCUGAUGAUCUCCUGAUGGAAGCCGUGGAAAUUCAGCAAUCCGCUUCAAUAAAAAUUACUAAUUUUU